CCAAUAUAAGGCUCUGAGCCUAGAGUUGCUCUCAUUACUUCAUCUGUACUGGGACUGUAGUGCAAUGAGUCCUGAAUGACCAUGGGUUCUUGCUGAAACAUCAAACUGAAGUCCUCUCUGCUUGUUCAGGAUAAUGUGAACAAUUCUAAGACAUUCUUUGAAGAACAACAAAAAUCGACGAGGCGUUGGGACCAACAUUGCCUUCCUUCUUCUACUCUAUGCCACUAGACCUUCUCAACCAGCACCACCAUUUGCUGGCAGUGGGACAGGGUCAACUUACAUUCAUCUAGCGCCUUUCACAUCAGAAGUUGUCCCAAGGAGCUGCACAGGAGUGAUCAACCGUAGAAUUUGAAGCCAAGCUACAUAAGGAGACAUGAGGGCAGGUGGCCACAAGAUUGGGUCAAAGGAGGGAAAGUGAGAUGUGAAGGCACUAACACAGUGCAGAAACCAUGCCAUAUGGUGAGGAAGAUCCCAAUCGGUUUAUGGAGUUGGCAGGAGUGUGGUCUGAAUCAUGUAUUCCGAGCUGCAGGUACGCCAGAUCUUGAUGUUCCAGUUUGAAAUUCAUCCACCAAAACAAGCAGCCAUUUCCAAAAUUCCAGAUCCGCAAAACUCAAAGAGGAUGAAUCAGCAACUAAGAAACAGAAUCAAAAUACUGUCGGUGCUGCAAAUCUGAAAUAAAACUGAAAACUGUUUGAAAUACUCAGCAAGUCUGCUAGCAUCUCUGGAGCGAGAAACAAAGUUAACAUUUCUGGUCAAUGGUCUUUCUUGAAAUUCGAAAUAGGUGUGAGAUACCUGGGGCUUUGAAAAGAUGGAUUGCUAGACUUAGGAAAAGUAGUGGUGGGAAGGUUGCAAUUUGAACAUUCCUGAUACAUGAUUUUUGUGGAAAGGUUCACUGAGCUUUUAUAUUGGCUCACCAGAGAUCCUGGAAACUUCUGUCAGAAUAAGACAUUGUUAAGAGAUU